rnacentral:tRNA from 1 species
GCCGGAGUGGCGAAACUGGCAGACGCACGGGACUCAAAAUCCCGUAUCCUUCGGGAUGUGUGGGUUCGACUCCCACCUCCGGCA